UACGUAGGGUGCAAGCGUUAUCCGGAUUCACUGGGUUUAAAGGGUGCGUAGGCGGGUAUGUAAGUCAGUGGUGAAAUCCUUGAGCUUAACUCGAGAACUGCCAUUGAUACUAUAUGUCUUGAAUAUCCUGGAGGUCUGCGGAAUAUGUCAUGUAGCGGUGAAAUGCUUAGAUAUCGUCAAGAACACCGAUAGUGUAGACAGCUAACUAAGCUCUAACUGACGCUGAGGCACGAAAGUGUGGGGAUCAAACAGG
rnacentral:rRNA from 1 species